rnacentral:rRNA from 1 species
AGAGUUUGAUCCUGGCUCAGAUUGAACGCUGGCGGCAUGCCUUACACAUGCAAGUCGAACGGCAGCACGGGAGCAAUCCUGGUGGCGAGUGGCGAACGGGUGAGUAAUGUAUCGGAACGUACCAUUCAGUGGGGGAUAACGUAGCGAAAGUUACGCUAAUACCGCAUAUUCUGUGCGCAGGAAAGCAGGGGAUCGUAAGACCUUGCGCUGAUUGAGCGGCCGAUAUCAGAUUAGCUAGUUGGUGAGGUAAAGGCUCACCAAGGCGACGAUCUGUAGCGGGUCUGAGAGGAUGAUCCGCCACACUGGAACUGAGACACGGUCCAGACUCCUACGGGAGGCAGCAGUGGGGAAUUUUGGACAAUGGGGGCAACCCUGAUCCAGCCAUGCCGCGUGAGUGAAGAAGGCCUUCGGGUUGUAAAGCUCUUUCGGCCGGGAAGAAAUCGCAUGGGCUAAUACCCUGUGCGGAUGACGGUACCGGCAUAAGAAGCACCGGCUAACUACGUGCCAGCAGCCGCGGUAAUACGUAGGGUGCGAGCGUUAAUCGGAAUUACUGGGCGUAAAGCGUGCGCAGGCGGUUUUGUAAGACAGGCGUGAAAUCCCCGGGCUCAACCUGGGAACUGCGUUUGUGACUGCAAGGCUAGAGUACGGCAGAGGGGGGUGGAAUUCCACGUGUAGCAGUGAAAUGCGUAGAGAUGUGGAGGAACACCAAUGGCGAAGGCAGCCCCCUGGGUCGAUACUGACGCUCAUGCACGAAAGCGUGGGUAGCAAACAGGAUUAGAUACCCUGGUAGUCCACGCCCUAAACGAUGUCAACUAGGUGUUGGGUGGGUAAAACCAUUUAGUACCGGAGCUAACGCGUGAAGUUGACCGCCUGGGGAGUACGGCCGCAAGGUUAAAACUCAAAGGAAUUGACGG